GAUGAACGCUGGCGGCGUGCCUAAUACAUGCAAGUCGAGCGAACAGACGAGGAGCUUGCUCCUCUGACGUUAGCGGCGGACGGGUGAGUAACACGUGGAUAACCUACCUAUAAGACUGGGAUAACUUCGGGAAACCGGAGCUAAUACCGGAUAAUAUAUUGAACCGCAUGGUUCAAUAGUGAAAGACGGUUUUGCUGUCACUUAUAGAUGGAUCCGCGCCGCAUUAGCUAGUUGGUAAGGUAACGGCUUACCAAGGCAACGAUGCGUAGCCGACCUGAGAGGGUGAUCGGCCACACUGGAACUGAGACACGGUCCAGACUCCUACGGGAGGCAGCAGUAGGGAAUCUUGCGCAAUGGGCGAAAGCCUGACGGAGCAACGCCGCGUGAGUGAAGAAGGUCUUCGGAUCGUAAAACUCUGUUAUUAGGAAAGAAAAAAUGUGUAAGUAACUAUGCACGUCUUGACGGUACCUAAUCAGAAAGCCACGGCUAACUACGUG
rnacentral:rRNA from 1 species